rnacentral:rRNA from 1 species
GGGGUGGCUUCCAUCUGGAAGAAUCUGGAGACAGGUGCUGCAUGGCUGUCGUCAGCUCGUGUCGUGAGAUGUUGGGUUAAGUCCCGCAACGAGCGCAACCCUUGCCUUUAGUUGCCAGCAGUUCGGCUGGGCACUCUAAAGGGACUGCCGGUGUUAAACCGGAGGAAGGUGGGGAUGACGUCAAGUCCUCAUGGCCUUUAUGACCAGGGCUACACACGUACUACAAUGGCCGAUACAAAGGGCAGCGACACUGCGAGGUGAAGCCAAUCCCGUAAAAUCGGUCUCAGUCCGGAUUGGAGUCUGCAACUCGACUCCAUGAAGUUGGAAUCGCUAGUAAUCGUGGAUCAGCAUGCCACGGUGAAUACGUUCCCGGGCCUU